rnacentral:rRNA from 1 species
UACAGAGGUCUCAAGCGUUGUUCGGAUUCAUUGGGCGUAAAGGGUGCGUAGGUGGCGCUGUAAGUCAGGUGUGAAAUUUCGGAGCUUAACUCCGAAACUGCAUUUGAUACUGCGGUGCUUGAGGACUGGAGAGGAGACUGGAAUUUACGGUGUAGCAGUGAAAUGCGUAGAGAUCGUAAGGAAGACCAGUGGCGAAGGCGGGUCUCUGGACAGUUCCUGACACUGAGGCACGAAGGCCAGGGGAGGCAAACGGG